CGACUGCAGCAGAAUCGCAGCAGCACUUCUGGAUAUUUGAGAUGAACCCCACCCAGCCGGCACAAAAACACACAAUGAGCUUCAUUCACACAGGGAGACAAGUGUGUGUGCUCUUGAAGAAGGCGGUAAAAGUUCUUUAACAGAAGAGACGUUUAGAGGAAUGUCUUUUUUGACGAGGACAUGAACCGGCUGUCUCACCUCAACGCUCUCCAGAGACGUCGAUCGCCUCAGUUUGGCUCUUCGAACGCCGACCGGCGACGAGUCUGUGGCCUCGGGUCUGGACGGCGGCGAGUCCUCCGAGUCAGCGGUGUCGGGCUGACUGUCGGGACGGGAGCGACGGCCGUAACGCUUCGCUCCCUUCACGAACUUUGGCUUCACCUCCUCCGGAACAACUGGAGAGACAGACAGACAGACAGACAGACAGACAGACAGACAGACAGACGGGUUUGUAUGUAGGUCAGAGGAGCUGCAGAGUCACUGUAGAGACUCAGCCAAGAAACAAGAAGAAAAUUAAAGGCUGGAGCCAGAGUGUGUCACACAGGAAUCCUCUGCACCAGAACCAGGACUUUAAACUAACUGAGGCCAGCAUGCUAACUAAAAUACUGUUCUGGGUCUGCAGGAGCCAAAGACAGCAGGAGACUCAAAUCCACACAUUUUUAACAUUUCUUUUGUUGUACAUUGAUAAAGUCAGUUUGGACAUUUAAUGCACUUAUUUUUUAAUAUUUGUGUCUUUGUAGUUUCUGCAUGUUAUAUACAGUAAGCAGUAUUCACAGUAUCCAUAUACCAAUACACUGCGUAGUGUAUUCCCAUUUAUUACUGUUACACAUCCACAUAUACGCUGCCUUAAAGCUGCAGUGUGUCACAUUAAUAUAAUAUCCACAGGUAUGUUUCAUUAGUGUUUAAUCAGCUGAUAAUAAGAAUCAUUGUGUGUUUGUUACCUUAGAACGAGACGUUUGUAUCUACAGAGGCAGCAGCUCCUCUUCUGGUGGACCGCCAUGUUACGGUUUCAUCUACUACUUUGAUUUACUAUCACUUUUCAAUGCCAGGUUGUCGAAUAUAGACGCGAGUGGUAUUCAGUUAGUUGCAAUCUACAACUUCACCACCAGAUUUCAUUAAAUCCUACAAACUGGUCCUUUAAAAUCAAUAUUCAUAAAUCACUGACAGAACGAAUGUUUCCCUGAACGCACCAAACAGACCCGCUGAUUUAAACCACUAAACACGCUGAAUAAAGCAGUUCCACCUUAAACACGCUGAAUAAAGCAGUUCCACCUUAAACACGCUGAAUAAAGCAGUUCCACCUUAAACACGCUGAAUAAAGCAGUUCCACCUUAAACACAGUGAAUAAAGCAGUUCCACCUUAAACACACUGAAUAAAGCAGUUCCACCUUAACAAUCACUGAAUAAAGCAGUUCCACCUUAAACACACUGAAUAAAGCAGUUCCACCUUAAA